CUUUGUUUCGAUGUCUCUCUCUACUGCUUCUUGUUGUUCAAAUUGCUCAAUUGGAGCGAUUCAUUUUAAAAAUUUUUUCAGCACGGAGGGAGUGUUCCUUCCUUCCCAGAAGAAGAAGAAAAAGUUCUCUUCUGUUUCAGUUCCUUUCCAAUCUAUUAGCUUGCUGUUAUUCAUAUAUAUAUUUCCAGCUUAAGAUGUUACUUGUGUUUGUAUAAUUUGGCUAUAUACAAGUGCUUACCACAUUGAAUGUUGAGCUUUGGUUUUAAACUGUGUGGUACCUGUUCGAUAAAAGACCUCAAUCAAUUUUUAUAAAAUGGGUAUGGAGGGAAUUGAUGCCUCUGAAUUUCAGAAAAUUGCUGAUGAUUCUGCAGUGAUGUAAUGGUCAACUAUAAACUUUGUACGGUGUAGGCCAGAUAAUUUUUGAAAUAACUUGCUGUAAAAUGUGGCCUGGGAUGAACUACCUAGCUUUUCAUAAUUUUACCUUGUAAUUUGGUAUAUGUAACAAAAUUUAAUUUUAAAUUUUUGGGUUUCAGUCGUAUUUUUGUAACAGACUAGUUUUGUGGCUGCCCUGCUUUUUCAGGUAGAGAUUGCUGAUCCUCUGUUUGUUUCCUUGAUAUGAGUAGAAUUAUUAAACAUUCAAACAAUUUAUCUUCAGGAUGGUGUAUGUUAGCAAGAAGGUACAGUUCAAGUAAACCCACCACUGAAAUCUCAGAUGCAACAAAAAAGAUAUGUAAAAUCAUGAUGUCCUCCCCAGCAGUAACUCUUGAUACUGCCCUUGACCAAAAUGGUAUUAGGGUCUCACCAGAAAUAGUUGAGGAUGUCCUCAAGAAAUUUGAGAAUGCUGGUAUGGUGGCUUAUCGAUUCUUUGAAUGGGCAGAGAAGCAACAGCAUUAUACACAUAGUAUUAGGGCUUAUCACACAAUGAUAGAGUCUCUGGCCAAAAUAAGGCAGUAUCAGAUCACGUGGGAUCUUGUAAAUGAGAUGAGGAGAAAGAGAAUGCUAAAUGUUGAAACAUUCUGUAUCAUUAUGAGAAAGUAUGCUAGGGCUCAAAAGCUGGAGGAAGCUGUUUACACUUUUAAUGUCAUGGAAAAGUACGAUGUGCCCCCAAACUUAGUGGCAUUCAAUGGCUUGCUUAGUGCUUUAUGCAAAUCUAAGAAUGUGAGGAAAGCUCAAGAGAUUUUUGACCUUAUGAAGGAACAAUUUGUCCCUGACUCAAAAACGUACAGUAUCUUGAUUGAGGGAUGGGGAAAGGCUCCAAAUCUGCCCAAGGCAAGGGAAAUUUUCAGAGAGAUGGUUGACGCAGGUUGCCAGCCUGAUAUCGUGACUUAUGGUAUCAUGGUGGAUGUUCUCUGCAAGGCUGGAAGGGUUGAUGAAGCCCUUGGAAUUAUCAAGGAAAUGGAUUCCAUGGAUUUUAAGCCAACAUCAUUUAUUUACAGUAUUCUGGUUCACACAUAUGGGAUAGAAAACCAGAUAGAAGAUGCUGUUGAUACAUUCCUAAGGAUGGAAAAGAAUGGAAUCAAAGCUGAUGUGGUUGUAUAUAAUGCUCUGAUUGGCGCUUUCUGUAAAGUAAACAAGUUUAAGAAUGUGUACAGGGUCUUGAAUGAGAUGGAUUGCAAGGGUGUGAAACCCAAUUCAAGAACAUUAAAUAUCAUUAUGAAUGGUUUAAUUGGCCGUCAAGAGACUGAUGAGGCUUUCAGGGUGUUCCGCAGGAUGAGCAGGCUAUGUGAACCAGAUGCAGACACAUUUACUAUGAUGAUAAAAAUGUUCUGUGAAAGGUAUGAGUUGCAGAAUGCUCUUAAGGUGUGGAAAUAUAUGCAAAAGAAGCAAUUUGUUCCAAGCAUGCACACUUUUUCAGUGCUCAUAAAUAGCCUAUGUGACAUGGGUGAUGUUUCUCAGGCUUGUGUCUUGUUAGAAGAUAUGAUAGAAAAAGGAAUUCGGCCUCCAGGCAAGACAUUUGGAAGGUUAAGGCAUUUGCUUAUAAAGGAAGGAAGAGAAGAUGUAUUGAAAUUUCUUCAGGAGAAAAUCAACAUCCUGGUCAAGGAGCCCUUAUGGGAUUGAUGAACCAUGUUCAAUGAACUAAAAGGCCAUACAUUAUGUUGAUCCAGCCGUGAGAAGAUUAUUCAUGGACUUUAACAGCAAAGAUCAGUUUGUGCAGGGACAACUGAUGUAGGGAAAUGAAGCUGAUAAAGAGUCCAAGAAUUCUUCUUUGAUCUUCCAUCAAGGAAAACAUGCUACUGCUGGAAGUGCCACAUGGAAGAAGAGGUUUGGCAGCUCUAGUGAUGCGGCAAAAGAACUCCAGUGCUAUGGACUAAUGGGAAAACAAUAAGGGAUGAAAAUUUUCCUCGUGACACAGUGAAUAUGUAAUUUGUGGUGAGGCAAAUUGAGGCUCCCUAGAAGCCGUGCCUUUUCUCAAAGCGAAAUCGAUUGUAUAGCUUACACAUACCUGUUAAAAGAGGUGUGGAAUUUGGUUUUAUUUAUCUAAGUUGGCCAUUUGAUUUGAUUACUUUUUAUGAAGUUAUUUAUAUUCAUCAAUAAAUAAAUAUUCAUUGAAAAAUUAUUAACAAUUAGUUUAGCCCUUUGCGUUGCAUUGUAA
rnacentral:misc_RNA from 1 species